CCUUAAAGGAUCCUUUUUUGAAAGGACAGUCAAACAGUGACUGAAGUCUUGGCCCACUGGAGUAAAAAAAAAAGCUCUGUUUGCUUCAAAACAUCUCUCACCAUUCUGCCCUAUUUCUUGAGCUGACAGCCAGUCUUCACAAGGAAAAGAUCUCCUUAAUUACAAGCCUUCAGAUUGGUGAUGAAGACAUAGCUUGGUCUUUCCCAAAUCCUUCAUCCACCAUAUAUCUUUAACUCAUUCUCUUCUCACCAUGACACUUACAGGCUGCUACUACACUCUGCUGGUGAAGCUGAGGUAAACUGGUUCUGUCCUGGAGCAAUGAUGCAGUUUGGGUAGUUGUGGUUGUAUGCAAUGAUUUUGAAUUUUUUUUUUUUUUUUAAUCACUGUAUGAUGAGAACAUUGUAUUGUGGCUUGUGUGGGACUAUUUCUUAUUAUCAGAUGGAAAAGGAAACUGUCUUUUUUAUGUGGUUGAUGAUUCUAGUAGAAUGUAAAGCUAAAGUUCUUUGCUGAAGUGGUGUCUGUGUCUGCUUAUAAAGAAUCAGAAAAUAAGGUGAAGUGUUUGGUUUUUUAAGACAAAUAUUUUGGUACCUUUUUCUGACUGAAAGGAGGAGUGGUUACAAUGGGCUUUGCCAUGUCAGCAAAUGAAACAUAAAGUAAUGAUGAAUUUGGAUUUUAGGUUUACUUUUGUGGGCUUUGACUAAUGUUAAAAUAUCUGGGCUGUGUUUGGUGCUAACUAUUCUUUCAAAUAAUUUCAUUUUUCCAUGAUGCUCUCAUCACUAAUGGCUAGCAGAAGAGGGCUGUCUUUCUAAUUAGGACUUUUCAGGCUGCUGGUAGUAAUUUGCACAUUGACUCUUACAUGCCUAAUUGUGAG